AGCAGCCGCGGUAAUUCCAGCUCCAAUAGCGUAUAUUAAAGUUGUUGCAGUUAAAAAGCUCGUAGUUGAAUUUCGGGGUUAGUAGGUUGGUCAUGCCUCUGGUAUGUACUGGUCUCACUGAUUCCUCCUUCCUGAUGAGCCGUAAUGCCAUUAAUUUGGUGUUGCGGGGAAUUUGGACUGUUACUUUGAAAAAAUUAGAGUGUUUAAAGCAAGCUAACGCUUGAAUACAUUAGCAUGGAAUAAUGAAAUAGGACGUUCGAUCCUAUUUUGUUGGUUUCUAGGAUUGACGUAAUGAUUAAUAGGGAUAGUUGGGGGCAUUAGUAUUCAAUUGUCAGAGGUGAAAUUCUUGGAUUUAUUGAAGACUAACUACUGCGAAAGCAUUUGCCAAGGAUGUUUUCAUUAAUCAAGAACGAAAGUUAGGGGAUCGAAGACGAUCAGAUACCGUCGUAGUCUUAACCAUAAACUAUGCCGAUUAGGGAUCGGAUGAUGUUAAUUUUUA
rnacentral:rRNA from 1 species